GCCGGGAUGGCGGAAUUGGCAGACGCGCAAGACUAAGGAUCUUGUGGGAGCAAUCCUGUCCGGGUUCAAGUCCCGGUUCCGGCACCA
rnacentral:tRNA from 1 species